rnacentral:rRNA from 1 species
UUCUAGUGCUAAAUUUAUUUGAAACACCUAAUAACCAUACCGAACUUAGAAGUGAAACGAUAAAUCAGGUUUAAUAGAUCUGUGUGCUAGAAU